UUGGUCCAAUGAAGAAUCUUUGUUGAAUCUGAUCUCUGUAUUUCGUAAAAUCCUUGAUGCGAAUGCGUUGAUCGAAUCAAGUGACGGUGAAACCCGCGGUGGCGGCGUCCUCCGGGCGGUCUGGUGGUGCCAAAUCCCUACGAUCAGUGCAGUCGUUGAGGAAAAGAACAUGUAAUAGCAAAAAAAGAAGUAUUCGGAUGCAUAUUGGGAUUUACUGCCUUCAUUGAUGUGGAUGCAUGUUGCUUGAUCCUAAUCCUCAGGGGAGUCAAAAGAAACAGAGCCCAGCUGGUCACUCUCAUCCAGUUAUUGGUGGUCAAAGGCCAUGUGGGGCAUGAUUUCAAAAGGUACACAAAAUUUUUCUUUUGGACGACAACUAAUAGGCCAUCAAUGGCUGCCCAUCUAUUCACUUAAAGGCUCAGCAUACAAAUGAAAUGGGGAAAAUCAAACACAAUUGCCAUUUUUUGACCAAAAGGAUGGUGGUUGAAGUAGCUUUGAAAGCUUUGCACCUCAUUUUUUAAGGAAUUGAAGGUUCUUCUUUAUCACCGUGUUUAAUUCGACGUUGAUGGAUCUGAGAUGGUGUUUGGAGAUUGAAAUCGUUUUGAAGAUAUAGGAAUUGCGGAUUGGUAGUUCAACUGUUCCUAUAAGUUUAGUAUCUUGGGUUGUUGAUUCUGCUGGAUUGGGCUUUGAGCUGAGGUGACAAAAGGGUUAGCAGCGAGAGAGGGCGUAGGAUGGCAGCAAUCGCUAGUAAAUAUUGUUCUCUUUAGCCCAUUAUAUAUCGUCAUCAACCUUUUGGUUUUAAAACGUGUCUAUUAGGAAGAGGUUUUCAUACUUUUAUAAGGAAUGUUUUGUUCUUCUCUUCAAUUGAACGGUGGGUGGCAAUGGCAGCCAUGAGAAGACACAUAGACACACAUGUAGCUAAACAUAAAUCUAGUUAGUAUCAUUUUUUUUUUUUUUUUUUUUUUGUCUUAGGAUGACUUGCUUAAUUGUCAAACUCAGCUAUAUAAUCUCGACAUGUAUUUCAUCAAGAGGUCAGAUAUUUCAAAUUCUUCUUUCCCUCUAAAUGUCGU